rnacentral:rRNA from 1 species
UGGGGAAUAUUGGACAAUGGGGGCAACCCUGAUCCAGCCAUGCCGCGUGAGUGAAGAAGGCCUUCGGGUUGUAAAGCUCUUUUGGCGGGGACGAUGAUGACGGUACCCGCAGAAUAAGCCCCGGCUAACUUCGUGCCAGCAGCCGCGGUAAGACGAAGGGGGCUAGCGUUGUUCGGAAUUACUGGGCGUAAAGGGCGCGUAGGCGGUUUGUUAAGUCAGGCGUGAAAGCCCUGGGCUCAACCUGGGAGGU